GAUGAACGCUGGCGGCGUGCCUAAUACAUGCAAGUCGAGCGCAGGAAACUGACGGAACUCUUCGGAGGGAAGGCAGUGGAAUGAGCGGCGGACGGGUGAGUAACACGUAAGGAACCUGCCUCAAGGAUUGGGAUAACUCCGAGAAAUCGGAGCUAAUACCGGAUAGUUCAACGGACCGCAUGGUCCGCUGAUGAAAGGCGCUCCGGCGUCACCUUGAGAUGGCCUUGCGGUGCAUUAGCUAGUUGGUGGGGUAAUGGCCCACCAAGGCGACGAUGCAUAGCCGACCUGAGAGGGUGAUCGGCCACACUGGGACUGAGAGACGGCCCAGACUCCUACGGGAGGCAGCAGUAGGGAAUCUUCCACAAUGGACGAAAGUCUGAUGGAGCAACGCCGCGUGAGUGAUGAAGGUUUUCGGAUCGUAAAACUCUGUUGUAAGGGAAGAACACGUACGAGAGGGAAUGCUCGUACCUUGACGGUACCUUACGAGAAAGCCACGGCUAACUACGUGCCAGCCGCCGCAGUAAAAC
rnacentral:rRNA from 1 species